rnacentral:rRNA from 1 species
UAGGGAAUCUUCGGCAAUGGGGGCAACCCUGACUGAGCAACGCCGCGUGAGUGAAGAAGGUUUUCGGAUCGUAAAGCUCUGUUGUAAGAGAAGAACGUGUGUGAGAGUGGAAAGUUCACACAGUGACGGUAACUUACCAGAAAGGGACGGCUAACUACGUGCCAGCAGCCGCGGUAAUACGUAGGUCCCGAGCGUUGUCCGGAUUUAUUGGGCGUAAAGCGAGCGCAGGCGGUUUAAUAAGUCUGAAGUUAAAGGCAGUGGCUUAACCAUUGUUCGCUUUGGAAACUGUUAAACUUGAGUGCAGAAGGGGAGAGUGGAAUUCCAUGUGUAGCGGUGAAAUGCGUAGAUAUAUGGAGGAACACCGGUGGCGAAAGCGGCUCUCUGGUCUGUAACUGACGCUGAGGCUCGAAAGCGUGGGGAGCAAACAGG